AACGAACGCUGGCGGCAUGCCUAACACAUGCAAGUCGAACGAGGCCUUCGGGUCUAGUGGCGCACGGGUGCGUAACGCGUGGGAACCUGCCCUUAGGUUCGGAAUAACUCCCCGAAAGGGGUGCUAAUACCGGAUAAUGUCCUCGGACCAAAGAUUUAUCGCCUUUGGAUGGGCCCGCGUUGGAUUAGCUAGUUGGUAGUGUAAAAGCCUACCAAGGCGACGAUCCAUAGCUGGUCUGAGAGGAUGAUCAGCCACACUGGGACUGAGACACGGCCCAGACUCCUACGGGAGGCAGCAGUGGGGAAUAUUGGACAAUGGGCGGAAGCAUGAUCCAGCAAUGCCGCGUGAGUGAUGAAGGCCUUAGGGUUGUAAAGCUCUUUUACCCGGGAUGAUAAUGACAGUACCGGGAGAAUAAGCUCCGGCUAACUCCGUG
rnacentral:rRNA from 1 species